AUAGACAUUCUGGCGUAACAGACCAUUAUGCUUUGGAUGACAGUCAUGCACUUCAUCUGGCAAGGAAAACUGUAAGAAGCUUAAAUCUCCGAAAGAAAGUAGAUGUGGCUAUAGAACCAUCAGAAGAACCUUUAUUUCCUGCUGAUGAAAUAUAUGGAAUAGUUGGCGACCAGC